rnacentral:tRNA from 1 species
GAGGAUGUUUAUAGAACUGCUAAUUCUGAUCUCUAAUAAUAAAAUAUUAGCGCCCUU